UACGAGGGGGGCUAGCGUUGCUCGGAAUCACUGGGCGUAAAGCGCACGUAGGCGGACUCUUAAGUCGGUGGUGAAAUCCUGGAGCUCAACUCCAGAACUGCCUUCGAUACUGGGAGUCUCGAGUCCGAGAGAGGUGAGUGGAACUGCGAGUGUAGAGGUGAAAUUCGUAGAUAUUCGCAAGAACACCAGUGGCGAAGGCGGCUCACUGGCUCGGUACUGACGCUGAGGUGCGAAAGCGUGGGGAGCAAACAGG
rnacentral:rRNA from 1 species